rnacentral:rRNA from 1 species
UACGGGGGGAGCAAGCGUUGUUCGGAUUUACUGGGCGUAAAGGGCGCGUAGGCGGCCACCGCAAGUCGACUGUGAAAUCUCCGGGCUUAACCCGGAAAGGUCAGCCGAUACUGCGGGGCUAGAGUGCAGAAGGGGCAACUGGAAUUCUCGGUGUAGCGGUGAAAUGCGCAGAUAUCGGGAGGAACACCCGUAGCGAAGGCGGCACUCUGGGCCGGAACUGACGCUGAGGAGCGAAAGCGUGGGGAGCAAACAGG